CAUGAAAUAACUUCAAGGAAAAAAGUGAAAGACUGACCGAACUCAAAUUUUCAGCAAAGUCAGCCUCUUUGUAGAUAUACACCAACGAACCUACCAUGAAAAGCAAGUAUGAUAUGCCUAUAGGACAGAAGGGCAGAGAGAGCUUAAAAAAACUCGUUCAGAAGUAUAAACUCUCUAAAUAAAAUUCCUACUUAAGCCUCAGGAUUCCUUCUUUGACUUGUUUUUCUUCAACACUAGGGCAGCUGUUUUCUGACCAACCCCGUUAUCCUACCCAAAACUUUGCAAACCAGCAUUACAUUCCAUCUAUGACUUCUUUUUCUUCAACACUAGGGCUGUUUUCUGACCAACCCCAUUAUCUCUACCCACAACUGAGCAAACCAGCAUGAUCUCCAAUGUGUUCUGCCUUAGCUUCAUUGAUUGGUGAGGGAGAUUAUUAACUAAGUAGGCAAUAGUGAGUACGAGUUUGAUUGGUCAGGAAUUAUAAAGAACACAUGCACUAACUGAAGUAUUCAGCAAGACCCUAGACAAGCAAGAUGACUGAUAAAGAGAUAGACUGGUUCUCAAUAAUAUACCU
rnacentral:lncRNA from 1 species